GUCAGUUCUGCUGUCUCCUCCAGCAUGUUCACACAGCUGCUCUCUCUCUGGGUGACUGGGGCUUUACUGCUGCCCCUGAACUGGGGUACCACAUUAGGCAAUGAAGAUUAUGAAGAUGUGACACCAACACCAGAUUACGACUACAACGCUACAUUCGAUUACUAUUUGUACAAUGGCUCCGCAAUGCAAAGUAUUAUCUAUGAUGAGCCCAAAGUUCUCCCCAAUCAAGGGAAUACGGAUUCAGUGUCAGUGUACAGACACUACGGAAUAUUAGCAGGACUGCUCGUGCUACACAUCUGCCUGCAAACAUGAAAAUGACAGUCAACAACGGACCAAACAAAAAUACUGAGCUGCUGAUGUCAUCGAAGAGGACCGGAACAUCCUCUUUGUUUGCAAACAGUGACAUCAAUACUGACAUUUUCACUGAAUUAAAGUCUGGAGCUUUGACAUUUCUGCUAAAUGUAUGUGUGUUGUUCAAGGCACUUUUUAUAUGUGAUUUGAAAUUGUAUGCUGUUUUUUAUGCUGUUUUAAAUGCUUUAUUGGGUCUGUUAAUUAUCCAACAAUCAUUAUCUGAGAAGCUUUCAUGAAACUGUAACCGUGUUUUAAACACUUUAAAAAAAAAAAAAGGAUGAAAAAAAUAAAAUAAUAAAAUUUAGCAUAUGGUAGUAGUUUUUACU
rnacentral:lncRNA from 1 species